rnacentral:rRNA from 1 species
UAGGGGGUAAGCGUUGUCCGGAAUCAUUGGGCGUAAAGAGCGCGUAGGCGGCCCGAUAAGUCCGCUGUGAAAGUCCAGGGCUCAACCCUGGGAUGCCGGUGGAUACUGUCGGGCUCGAGUCCGGAAGAGGCGAGUGGAAUUCCUGGUGUAGCGGUGAAAUGCGCAGAUAUCAGGAGGAACACCAAUGGCGAAGGCAGCUCGCUGGGACGUGACUGACGCUGAGACGCGAAAGCGUGGGGAGCAAACAGG